ACAAAGUACAGAAUGAGGAUGGUGGCUGCGGCCGUGAAGAGCCCCAGGAAAGUCGAUGUCACCACUGUGCGUAUUUGGGCCGCCAUUUUGCAGGACACUCACCAAAUUGAAGGCGUAAUUCUAUUUUCUCGGCGACAGGUGACUUCGUGCGAAAAAAAA
rnacentral:sRNA from 1 species